GGGUGGAGGCUGGAUCCUGGGCUGUGUCCCCGGCGCCCUGGGCUCCCAGGCCUGCACUGCUGGAAUCGGGCUCACGGCCGUGCAGCCCCGU
rnacentral:pre_miRNA from 1 species